GGCCCCGUCGUCUAGUGGCCUAGGACGCCACCCUCUCACGGUGGUAACAGGGGUUCAAAUCCCCUCGGGGCUA
rnacentral:tRNA from 1 species